ACUCCAUCCAAUGCACUCUCUCUCCAUUCAAAGUCUUCUGCUUGUUCAAUACAACACUUUUACUAGCUUAGUUCAAUACAGGCAUCGUAUCCCUCAAUCUCUACCCACUCUGACAAACUGGUUUUUUUUUCUUAUGUCUUUACCCACUCCUCAUAUAUUGUAAUCUCUUUGAUCAGGGCCUUUAUAAUUGUAAAGCACUACAGAAUAUUUUGGUGUAAU